rnacentral:misc_RNA from 1 species
GGAAGUAAAAGCGUAACAAGGUUUCCGUAGGUGAACCUGCGGAAGGAUCAUUAAAGAGAAUAUGCCCUUCGGGGUAGAUCUCCCACCCUUUGUUUAUAUUACCUUUGUUGCUUUGGCAGGCCCGUCUUCGGACCACCGGCUUCGGCUGGUCAGUGCUUGCCAGAGGACCCAAAACUCUUAUUAUUAAUGUCGUCUGAGUACUAUAUAAUAGUUAAAACUUUCAACAACGGAUCUCUUGGUUCUG